rnacentral:rRNA from 1 species
ACGAACGCUGGCGGCGUGCUUAACACAUGCAAGUCGAACGGAAAGGCCCUGCUUUUGUGGGGUGCUCGAGUGGCGAACGGGUGAGUAACACGUGAGUAACCUGCCCUUGACUUUGGGAUAACUUCAGGAAACUGGGGCUAAUACCGGAUAGGAGCUCCUGCUGCAUGGUGGGGGUUGGAAAGUUUCGGCGGUUGGGGAUGGACUCGCGGCUUAUCGGCUGGUUGGUGGGGUAGUGGCUUACCAAGGCUUUGACGGGUAGCCGGCCUGAGAGGGUGACCGGCCACAUUGGGACUGAGAUACGGCCCAGACUCCUACGGGAGGCAGCAGUGGGGAAUAUUGCACAAUGGGCGGAAGCCUGAUGCAGCAACGCCGCGUGCGGGAUGACGGCCUUCGGGUUGUAAACCGCUUUCGCCUGUGACGAAGCGUGAGUGACGGUAAUGGGGAAAGAAGCACCGGCUAACUACGU